GAUGAACGCUGGCGGCGUGCUUAACACAUGCAAGUCGAGCGAGAAGUUUUGAAAAGAUUCUUCGGAUGAAAUUUAAAAUGGAAAGCGGCGGACGGGUGAGUAACGCGUAGGCAACCUGCCCCAUACAAAGGGAUAGCAUUUGGAAACGAAUAUUAAUACCUUAUGAAACUUAACUAGUGCAUGCUAGGUAGGUCAAAGAUUUAUCGGUAUGGGAUGGGCCUGCGUCUGAUUAGCUAGUUGGUGAGGUAACGGCUCACCAAGGCGACGAUCAGUAGCCGACCUGGGAGGGUGAACGGCCACAUUGGAACUGAGACACGGUCCAAACUCCUACGGGAGGCAGCAGUGGGGAAUAUUGCACAAUGGGGGAAACCCUGAUGCAGCAACGCCGCGUGAACGAUGAAGGCCUUUGGGUCGUAAAGUUCUGUUCUAGGUGAUGAAAACUGACAGUAACCUAGGAGAAAGCCCCGGCUAACUCCGUG
rnacentral:rRNA from 1 species